rnacentral:rRNA from 1 species
GACGAACGCUGGCGGCGUGCUUAACACAUGCAAGUCGAACGGAAAGGCCCUGCUUUUGUGGGGUGCUCGAGUGGCGAACGGGUGAGUAACACGUGAGUAACCUGCCCUUGACUUUGGGAUAACUUCAGGAAACUGGGGCUAAUACCGGAUAGGAGCUCCUGCUGCAUGGUGGGGGUUGGAAAGUUUCGGCGGUUGGGGAUGGACUCGCGGCGUAUCAGCUUGUUGGUGGGGUAGUGGCUUACCAAGGCUUUGACGGGUAGCCGGCCUGAGGGGGUGACCGGACGGAUUGGAACUGUGCUACGGCCCGGACUCGUACGGGAGGCAGCAGGGGGGAAAAUUGCACGAUGGGCGGAAGCCUGAUGCAGCAACGCCGCGGGGGGGAUGACGGCCUUCGGGUUGUAAGCCGCUUUCGCCUGUUACGAAGCGUGAGUGACGGUAAUGGGUAAGGAAGCACCGGCUAACUACGG